rnacentral:misc_RNA from 1 species
GUGAAUCAUCAAAUUUUUGAACGCAAAUUGCGCUCCCUGGCAUCCCGGGAAGUAUGCCUGUUUGAGGGUCAGUAUUAAUAAAAAAUCGGUUUAGUUAAAAUUUGUGACGUUUCGGGGGUUUGGGCUAUUUUAAAUUUUUUGUUUAAGAGGCUUAAAAUUACCCUUUUUUGCGCUUUUUUAACGGAAAUUAAUUUUUUUUUAUUCGUCUAUUUUAAUUCCAAAAUUCUAAUUAAAGCCAU